rnacentral:rRNA from 1 species
GAUGAACGCUAGCGACAGGCUUAACACAUGCAAGUCGAGGGGCAGCAUAAAAGUAGCAAUACUUUGGUGGCGACCGGCGCACGGGUGAGUAACGCGUAUGCAACCUACCUAUCAGAGGGGGAUAACCCGGCGAAAGUCGGACUAAUACCGCAUAAAACAGGGGCACCGCAUGGUGCUAUUUGUUAAAAAUUAUUGCUGAUAGAUGGGCAUGCGUUCCAUUAGGUAGUUGGAGAGGUAACGGCUCACCAAGCCUACGAUGGAUAGGGGAACUAAGAGGUUGGUCCCCCAACUGGUACUGAGACACGGACCAGACUCCUACGGGAGCAGCAGUGAGGAAUAUUGGUCAAUGGGCGAGAGCCCUGAACCAGCCAAGUCGCGUGAAGGAAGAAGGAUCUAUGGUUCGUAAACUUCUUUUGCAGGGGAAUAAAGUGCAGGACGUGUCCUGUUUUGAUGUACCCUGAGAAUAAGGAUCGGCUAACUCCGUGCCAGCAGCCGCGGUAAACUACG